GAGGAGGCCGAGGAGGAGGGUGAGGAGGAGGGCGAGGAGGGUGGUGGAGGGGAGGUUGACCCCGAGUUGUGGGGUGACUUGCCACCCGGUGCUCCGCAGGGGUGGCUGCGUGGUACUGCCGGAGUACCUACACCACCUUCUAUUGAGGCUCACACGUGGCUCAUUGAACCUGCAGGGAUAGAGUAAGUGCCUCUCAAUCAUAUUUUGAAGACAUGACAACAUUUUCUUAUUGUACACAUGGCAAUCCUUUGAUUCUUUUGUAGUAACUGGAUCCUUCACGGAAAGGGCCGUAAACCGAAUGGCCUUAUCACUGUCCUGUUGAAGGAGUUUUGGCCGGGCCUAUUCUGCCCGCGGCCAGACAGGGACCCGCAGCUGCGGGUUAGGGCCACGAGCUGGGCCCACUACGAGGCUUACAGCCACGCGGAGUACGGGACGGCCGCUAAGGCCGUGAUCACCAAAUUUUGGCAACUCUAUAGAGUUCUUGACGAGCACAAGGCCAGAGCCGACGUGGUCUUGCUUGCGGCUGCGAAGAAGAAAGCUCGUCAGUUGCAGUACGAGGUGCGCUGGGUUGCCGUCUCACAGUACUACCACAUCUACCUGCACCAAAAUAUGACCAAAACUCAAGCGCAGAGGCAACGACUUACCUUGAACAGGGAGCAGUUCAUGAUGGUUGUUCCUCGUUGGUGCUAUGGAAGGGAUGACGGAUGGACGAGUUUGGUGGAUAGGUGGCUCGGCGACGAUGCAGAGUUUGCUGCCAAGAGCAACAAGGCCCGGGUUAACCGUGGAAAAGAGGGGACACACGGCCAAGGAAACAGGAACCACUGGGGCUUCAAGGCCAUGAAGGU